rnacentral:tRNA from 1 species
GCCUUCAUGGUAUAAUGGUAGCAUACUCAGCUCGUAUUCGAGAGGUCCAGGUUCGAGUCCCGGCGAAGGCA